rnacentral:rRNA from 1 species
GGGUUGUGAGGUUAAGCGACUAAGCGUACACGGUGGAUGCCCUGGCAGUCAGAGGCGAUGAAGGACGUGCUAAUCUGCGAUAAGCGUCGGUAAGGUGAUAUGAACCGUUAUAACCGGCGAUUUCCGAAUGGGGAAACCCAGUGUGAUUCGUCACACUAUCAUUAACUGAAUCCAUAGGUUAAUGAGGCGAACCGGGGGAACUGAAACAUCUAAGUACCCCGAGGAAAAGAAAUCAACCGAGAUUCCCCCAGUAGCGGCGAGCGAACGGGGAGCAGCCCAGAGCCUGAAUCAGUGUGUGUGUUAGUGGAAGCGUCUGGAAAGGCGCGCGAUACAGGGUGACAGCCCCGUACACAAAAAUGCACAUGCUGUGAGCUCGAUGAGUAGGGCGGGACACGUGGUAUCCUGUCUGAAUAUGGGGGGACCAUCCUCCAAGGCUAAAUACUCCUGACUGACCGAUAGUGAACCAGUACCGUGAGGGAAAGGCGAAAAGAACCCCGGCGAGGGGAGUGAAAAAGAACCUGAAACCGUGUACGUACAAGCAGUGGGAGCACGCUUAGGCGUGUGACUGCGUACCUUUUGUAUAAUGGGUCAGCGACUUAUAUUCUGUAGCAAGGUUAACCGAAUAGGGGAGCCGAAGGGAAACCGAGUCUUAACUGGGCGUUAAGUUGCAGGGUAUAGACCCGAAACCCGGUGAUCUAGCCAUGGGCAGGUUGAAGGUUGGGUAACACUAACUGGAGGACCGAACCGACUAAUGUUGAAAAAUUAGCGGAUGACUUGUGGCUGGGGGUGAAAGGCCAAUCAAACCGGGAGAUAGCUGGUUCUCCCCGAAAGCUAUUUAGGUAGCGCCUCGUGAAUUCAUCUCCGGGGGUAGAGCACUGUUUCGGCAAGGGGGUCAUCCCGACUUACCAACCCGAUGCAAACUGCGAAUACCGGAGAAUGUUAUCACGGGAGACACACGGCGGGUGCUAACGUCCGUCGUGAAGAGGGAAACAACCCAGACCGCCAGCUAAGGUCCCAAAGUCAUGGUUAAGUGGGAAACGAUGUGGGAAGGCCCAGACAGCCAGGAUGUUGGCUUAGAAGCAGCCAUCAUUUAAAGAAAGCGUAAUAGCUCACUGGUCGAGUCGGCCUGCGCGGAAGAUGUAACGGGGCUAAACCAUGCACCGAAGCUGCGGCAGCGACGCUUAUGCGUUGUUGGGUAGGGGAGCGUUCUGUAAGCCUGUGAAGGUGUACUGUGAGGUAUGCUGGAGGUAUCAGAAGUGCGAAUGCUGACAUAAGUAACGAUAAAGCGGGUGAAAAGCCCGCUCGCCGGAAGACCAAGGGUUCCUGUCCAACGUUAAUCGGGGCAGGGUGAGUCGACCCCUAAGGCGAGGCCGAAAGGCGUAGUCGAUGGGAAACAGGUUAAUAUUCCUGUACUUGGUGUUACUGCGAAGGGGGGACGGAGAAGGCUAUGUUGGCCGGGCGACGGUUGUCCCGGUUUAAGCGUGUAGGCUGGUUUUCCAGGCAAAUCCGGAAAAUCAAGGCUGAGGCGUGAUGACGAGGCACUACGGUGCUGAAGCAACAAAUGCCCUGCUUCCAGGAAAAGCCUCUAAGCAUCAGGUAACAUCAAAUCGUACCCCAAACCGACACAGGUGGUCAGGUAGAGAAUACCAAGGCGCUUGAGAGAACUCGGGUGAAGGAACUAGGCAAAAUGGUGCCGUAACUUCGGGAGAAGGCACGCUGAUAUGUAGGUGAAGUCCCUCGCGGAUGGAGCUGAAAUCAGUCGAAGAUACCAGCUGGCUGCAACUGUUUAUUAAAAACACAGCACUGUGCAAACACGAAAGUGGACGUAUACGGUGUGACGCCUGCCCGGUGCCGGAAGGUUAAUUGAUGGGGUCAGCGCAAGCGAAGCUCUUGAUCGAAGCCCCGGUAAACGGCGGCCGUAACUAUAACGGUCCUAAGGUAGCGAAAUUCCUUGUCGGGUAAGUUCCGACCUGCACGAAUGGCGUAAUGAUGGCCAGGCUGUCUCCACCCGAGACUCAGUGAAAUUGAACUCGCUGUGAAGAUGCAGUGUACCCGCGGCAAGACGGAAAGACCCCGUGAACCUUUACUAUAGCUUGACACUGAACAUUGAGCCUUGAUGUGUAGGAUAGGUGGGAGGCUUUGAAGUGUGGACGCCAGUCUGCAUGGAGCCGACCUUGAAAUACCACCCUUUAAUGUUUGAUGUUCUAACGUUGACCCGUAAUCCGGGUUGCGGACAGUGUCUGGUGGGUAGUUUGACUGGGGCGGUCUCCUCCUAAAGAGUAACGGAGGAGCACGAAGGUUGGCUAAUCCUGGUCGGACAUCAGGAGGUUAGUGCAAUGGCAUAAGCCAGCUUGACUGCGAGCGUGACGGCGCGAGCAGGUGCGAAAGCAGGUCAUAGUGAUCCGGUGGUUCUGAAUGGAAGGGCCAUCGCUCAACGGAUAAAAGGUACUCCGGGGAUAACAGGCUGAUACCGCCCAAGAGUUCAUAUCGACGGCGGUGUUUGGCACCUCGAUGUCGGCUCAUCACAUCCUGGGGCUGAAGUAGGUCCCAAGGGUAUGGCUGUUCGCCAUUUAAAGUGGUACGCGAGCUGGGUUUAGAACGUCGUGAGACAGUUCGGUCCCUAUCUGCCGUGGGCGCUGGAGAACUGAGGGGGGCUGCUCCUAGUACGAGAGGACCGGAGUGGACGCAUCACUGGUGUUCGGGUUGUCAUGCCAAUGGCACUGCCCGGUAGCUAAAUGCGGAAGAGAUAAGUGCUGAAAGCAUCUAAGCACGAAACUUGCCCCGAGAUGAGUUCUCCCUGACUCCUUGAGAGUCCUGAAGGAACGUUGAAGACGACGACGUUGAUAGGCCGGAUGUGUAAGCGCAGCGAUGCGUUGAGCUAACCGGUACUAAUGAACCGUGAGGCUUAACCUUACAACGCCGAAGCUGUU